ACUCAAAGGAAUUGACGGGGGAGCGCACAACCGGUGGAGCAUGUGGUUUAAUUCGAGACGAAGCGAAAAACCUUACCCAGAUUUGAUAUGUAGCUGCACGUCCUAGGAAACUAGGAUUUCUUCGAGAGUGCUACACAGGUGAUGCAUGGCUGUCGUCAGCUCGUGUCGUGAGGCGUCCGCUUAAGUGCGGUAACGAGCGCAACCCUUAUCCUGAGUUACAUGUAUCUCGGGAGACUGCCCUGCGUAUAGCAGGGAGGAAGGAGAGGAUGACGUCAAGUCAGCACGUCCCUUACAUCUGGGGCUACACACAUCCUACAAUGGAGCCGACAACGGGUUGCAACAGGGUAACCUCGAGCUAAUCCUUAUAAACGGCCCCUCAGUUCAGAUUGAGGGCUGCAAUUCGCCCUCAUGAAGUUGGAAUCGGUAGUAAUCGCAGGUCAGCAGACUGCGGUGAAUACGUUCUCGCUCCUUGUACACACCGCCCGU
rnacentral:rRNA from 1 species